GUUGAUGAAAAUUAAUGUAAACAUUGUGCAUCGUGAAUGCAGCGUGACAGCUCUGAGGUUGGCAAAGUAAUUCUACGUGUUUGUGUGUGUUGGUGCCAAGGCGUGAACGACACCAUCAUGACAGUGAUGGGCAGUUUUGGGGUUAAUAUGCGAUGGCAACCAACACGUUUUUCGGGUUGAGAAAACGAAAUUGUACAGUAUUAAUAAUCGAAACUCAUCGUUGCACUGUUAAAAAGUGCACCUUUCAACAGGUUUUUUUUGCUACUUGAAGUUGUAUCUAUCGCACCCUGCAGUAGGUCCGUAAAGUAGGUCACCGCAAGCAGUAGAGUGGCCUAUUUCGGUAUCUCCCUCCCCAAAAAAACACCACACUUAUGCUCCGUUGUUUUUGGGGUGGGGUGAAUUGCAUAGGAGAGCAUAUGUGUGGCUCAAAAUAACUGCCCAUCAAAUCUCUCUCUUUCACGGUGCGUACUUGCCGUGUGUUGUCGGUUGGAUUCGGUUCGUUUUCCUCAUAUCGGACAGAAGACGUUCAAUUUCUGCCUCAGCCCCACCUCAAAUAUUGCUACAUCUCAUCCACCCGGUAGUACCGGUUUUUCUGGCACAUGAGUCAACAACAACAAGGAGGAAAAAAUCACGCCCCGAAAAUAGUUGUUCCGGAGAAACAAGACUGAUUACGGGUUUAGUAGAGUUUGUGAUGAACCUGCGAUGGAUGUCACACCGAAGAGUAAAACCACUUGGAUCAACAAAGUACUCACACCUUGGGGGAAUUGAUAGGAAAAACUCGUCUAGUGUAUAUUGAGUGGAAGACUUUUUGGCCAAUUCGUUACAAACUGUAGCCAGCUUCCGACAUCCUUUCGGCAUCUUCAAUUACGGUCGAAAGGUGACCUCGUGAUAUUUUGUUGUUGUUUUCCGUUCGGUUUGCUCUCUUGCUUACCCGACUUGUUUCGGACUUCUGUUUUUCUUCCGCAAGAUCACACCGCCGUGUGUGUGUGUGUUUGUGUCUCAUUCGUUCAAAAGCAAAAUCCACCCAAAAACGAAAGGUUUCCCUUUCUCCCGAACGCAUACGUGCACCGCUGUCAAGUUGAUCGAGUUUCUUCACGCUGAAUCACCAAAACCGAAUCCCAUACGCGCUCUUUCUCUUUGUAAAGUAGCCGCUCUCCACGCUGGAACCGUGCCACACACUGAACGGGUUGGAAACCUUCGGAAGCCAAUGUCUGUUGAACGAAAGAAAAAAAAAUGGUAGAAGGGGUAAGAGAAAGGGAAAUUGGUUGUUUUUCACACGUGGUACGAUCGGUCACGAUGACGGCAAAUGUGUGUGUGUGUUUUCUUCUUCUUCUUCUUCUCCCAUCAAAAGGAAGGGGGGCUUUUCAUCGCUAAAACAACCCCUGCGCUCACAGGUGAGCGCGAAGAAAAGCUCCAUAACGGCUCAGUCUGCUUAUUGGACGCAACCGGGGAAGAAGCGAUCUCGGAUAUUCGGGCCCCCACACAUUGCUGGUGGAUCGUGACACGAUUCCGUUUUGCGUUGCGUGUGCGUUGGUAAACCAAACAAAAAAAUCUGCUCACAACAAGCUCCACCCGUUUUGUGUUUGUGCAGAUCUGUGUUGCGUGAGCUGAGAUGAGCCGUGAGUUGUGAGCCACAACUCGUGUCGUGUACAAAGUGAGCUAGUGAGUACGUUUAGUGUGAUGCUUAUUUUUAAGUUCGUUUCAUUUUCUUUCGGUCAUGUGAAAAUAGAAUUUCCCGUUUGUUUUUGCGCGUUAUUACGGAGAGUGCUUUUUUCCAGAUUUUAGUUGCAUUUGCCGCGAUUGGGCGAGUGUUGUCUUUGUUCCAAAAUAAAAGCAACAAGUGAGUGUGCAGAUAGCACUAGUGUGUGCGAGUGAGUGAGUGAUUGAGUGUGCCAAAAAUAAACAAACAUCGUGUGGUGUGGAUCGUUGCUCCAACGAAGCAGCGGCUGGGAAAAUGGGGCCGCUUAGAUUAUCUAUCUCCUCACUCACGGGUGCGUGUGUAUGUGUACGUUUCUUUCACCCCACAAACCCCCCUUUUCCCUUUAUGUACCCUCCAUAAUCACAGAGAGCUAUGUGCGUGUGUGUAUGUGAGUGGUUGGCUUGUAAAUUCGUAAAUAAAAGCCUUCCUCUUGAUCCCCCUUCCUUCUCCUAACCUCAUCCCCUUCCUUCCCUUCCAUCCCCCAACGCAUAUGGUCAAUGUAGGUCUGAGCAGGUUGCAACCUUCAUUUUGUGCGUUUGCUUCUGGCCCACUUGGUGAAGAGUGUUGCCCGCGAAUGCAUCAUGAGAGUAAACGCUUAACCGACAACAGGACGGUCCCUUAUUUUACGAGACGACGUUUUAGUGUUUUUUUUUUUUGCUGGGGCUGCUGGUGCGUGCUUUGGCGCGUUGUUAAACAUGUUUGCAUAUUUAUGCACCUGAAACAAAACGGCGCAUGCAAAACGUGUUCACUUGGUGUGAAUGUGACUUUUGCCGUUUCUACUAUCGGCUACCCCAAAAACGCGAUUUUGCUAGCGAUUGACGAGCAACAGCAAUUUCGUACAUUUCGUACAGUAGAGUUUAACGUUAAAACAAGCUCAAAUAAAAAUCCAAUCAAACUUCUUCAUCAGCACCAUAAUCAUCAUCGUGCUGCUUACUGCACCUUCAUCAAUCAUUCAAAACACUGAAACAGGCCAAGAACGACUGCCUGUCGGAUUCGCAUUUUUUUUUUGCCAUCGCGUGGCGUCUCAAAACUUUUGCAACCGAUAAAAACGGCACGGGGAGAGGUCGAAUUGGUGGAGGUUAAAUCUUGAAUUAAAAAAAAAAAUCCGCUUUCCGAAGGGUGCAAAUGGUUACAAGGAGAAAAUCUUCCAAUUUCAUCUUGCACAACCAUCCUGCUGGUGGAAAACUGACUCUUGAGCGAUCUUGGACCAAGGCGGGACACACUUUUCCUUGAAACUUCCACAGCCUUUCACGUGGUGGCGAUCCGCACUUGUCGAUGCUCUCAAAUGCCGAUGCGACAACGACGACGAAUCGGUACCGAACUGGUACCGGUCCAUUGACAGUUUAGUGGCCGGAAAGUAUGUGUGUGUGUACUAAAAAUAGCAAACCGCAAAAACCCGUGUGGGACGGAUAGCGAUUUUUCCCGUCUGGAAGCAUAUACUUGGGCAGGCGAGAAGAUAAAUACAACCGAAAUAUGUCACUCGACGGGGUGGAAAUUAAAUGUUGAGCCAAGAAAUGGCCGUUUUUCUGGCGUUCCUUCCCAUGCGGAAACCGGCAUGGGCGAUGGGCGUAUGGGCACCGUAACGCGGUGUGAAAGAAGAUAGAUGCGUAGGUGCGUUAGUGCUAUCGUUGCAAAAUUAUUUGAGGUGGAAAAAUUGGAAAAUCAACCACAAUCAACUGACCACCAGUCAAUCGAACGUCGUGUGAAGCGGGUGUAUGAUUUCUAAGAAUAUUUUCACCCCAACUCAGAUCGGUACUGAGCACGGUUCGGUUCGGUUUGGUUUUGCAGCGAAAGGAUGGUAAACCCCUAAAAUACUGUUCUCGGUGCAAGCAAGUGCAUUGUGCAAGUUGGUGCAGUGGUGUAUUAAAAUGUGUUUCCUUUUGUAAUCAAUUAUUAAAUGUAUUUUUUUGGCAUUUAUUUAUCAAGCUACAGAAUGUGUCAAGUGUAAGUGAAUGAAGUUAAAAACGUUAAAAAAAAGGAAAAAUAUUAUUGUCUAAUUAAAAGUUUCACUAUACUUUUCUGUGAAAAGUCAUCGUGUAGUUGAUAUAAAUCAGUGUAAAAAUAGUGUUAUUACAUAAAGUUUUAGUAACUAAAAUCACUUUUACGUCGUAGUGGAAAGUUGACCGAAAUGCAACUGCAACGAAUUUACUGUGUGCACUUUCAUGCUUCCAUUUUACGGUACGGAAGUUAAACCCAUAAGCGUAUACACCUACACGCGAAAAUCCUUGAAUCCUUGUCGUGGUUAUAAGCUUCCACCUUCAUCCAGUACCAAUAUUGGAUUCGAGAAGAUUUCAGAGUAUGCAGAGAAUAUAAAAUCCAGCUGAAUUUCCUUUAGCAACAUCAACUUAACCACCCUUAAAGAUAGGCUGUACGCAUUGAAGCGUAAUGAAAUGUCAAUUGACCCAAAACAAAACCGAAAGUUGGGCACAAUCAUAAUCACACAGGCGCACACACACACACACACACAUCGCGCUAUUUAAAAAUAGACGACAAGGUCAACGAAACCUGCUACCUGUCGCCCACCCUCCCCCAAGAGUGUUUUGCUGAUAAUGAUGAAGCCUUACAAAAAUCAAGAAUAAUAUGUGAACGGAUUUGUUGCUCCGGUUUUUCCUCAUUGUUUUUCCAACCCGUGUUUUCUGGGUUCUUCACUUAUUCGCUUUAAAUUGGCCAGUCGGAGACGAGAUCGCACUAACAAGCCGCGGAUCUUGCAGCGCCGGAAUAAAGAACAACCACAAGAACAGCGCGUGAAGAAUAACGCGAACACGAAUGCGAACGGCAAAAGGGCGACACACACAAAAGCCAACGAUAUUCAAAGACCUCCCCGGCCCCAGUUCCUUCAAACGGAAAACCGCUAGUCUCGUCGCAAACCGAGAAGUCAAUCAAUUUGGUUGUGUGCACAUACACACACACACAUUUAUAUAGAAGACCGACUGGUCGAAUGCGGAAAGACGAAGCUCAACGACACCGAAAGACCCGCUGAAGAAGCUGCCCUGUGCCUUCCCGCAUUCCAUCCCGCCGUGCCCCCCUACAAUCGAAUAGGGGUUGUUGGUACAGGUGCACCCCACACGCCUGUGCCGGCCGGUCAUCCGCCAUUCUACAACCCUUCGCAGUUUUCUACAAUUCUUCGCAGCCCCCCCCCCCCCUUUUCAGUCCCAACAGAGCACUAAAGUGGCCAGAAUAAUCCGUUCGGGAACCGAAGGUACGUUCCGAA